GAUGAACGCUGGCGGCGUGCCUAAUACAUGCAAGUCGAGCGAACGGACGAGAAGCUUGCUUCUCUGAUGUUAGCGGCGGACGGGUGAGUAACACGUGGAUAACCUACCUAUAAGACUGGGAUAACUUCGGGAAACCGGAGCUAAUACCGGAUGAUAUUUUGAACCGCAUGGUUCAAAAGUGAAAGACGGUCUUGCUGUCACUUAUAGAUGGAUCCGCGCUGCAUUAGCUAGUUGGUAAGGUAAUGGCUUACCAAGGCAACGAUGCAUAGCCGACCUGAGAGGGUGAUCGGCCACACUGGAACUGAGACACGGUCCAGACUCCUACGGGAGGCAGCAGUAGGGAAUCUUCCGCAAUGGGCGAAAGCCUGACGGAGCAACGCCGCGUGAGUGAUGAAGGUCUUCGGAUCGUAAAACUCUGUUAUUAGGGAAGAACAUAUGUGUAAGUAACUGUGCAUAUCUUGACGGUACCUAAUCAGAAAGCCACGGCUAACUACGUG
rnacentral:rRNA from 1 species